AUAGCAAUGAAAAUGUCAAGGCUGGCCAAGAAGAGAAGGCCUAUAGAAAGCAUGGCUUUGUGCAAUCUCAAUGCGUUCCCGGGGAUCGUUCAAAGUUUCAUCCCUUAGUGCUUGAAGAAUAGCUUGUGAUGAAUUUUCCCUAUAAGAUCCAAAAUCAACCGCACGCAGAAGGCAUUAGAUUCAUCAAUGGAAAGAACAAACUCCAUUACUUGAAAGACUUAGAAGAUCUUAAAACAAAGCACAACUUUGUAUUGAAAGAAUGUAUGAUUCUAUUAAUGAUCCCCAUAAGAUUCAACAGCAACUGCAAGCAGAAGGGGUUAGAUUAAUCAAUGGAAAGAACAAAUUCCAUUACUUGACUGAAAGGCUUGGAAGAUCUUAAAACAAAGUAAAACUUUGUAUUGAAAGAAUGUGUGAUUCUAGUUUGUAGAUUUAGAGCGUCUAGAAUUCAUUGUAGAAGUGAUCGCAAUGAAAAUAAGCUUUGGCUCGAUGAUACUAUAUUCUAUCUUUUAAGGCUGCAAGAUUUUGAGUUUCAACCCCAAUUAGAGCCCAAUUAACAAAAUUAAAAGAACAAUGUCAAAGAAAAGUGAGCCUUAAGAAAAUGCCGUAUCUUUACUACUGACUUGAGACAUUCCAAACUCUACUGGCUUUUUAUAUAUUAAAAUGAUAUAUGAGAGAAUCGAGCUAAUCCGUUGUGUUUCAUAAUGGGGGUAUUAUGUCAAAACAAGGAACUUACCUUGAUAUAAGUAUUUUAUACAGUGUUUUUAAAAUGGGGCAGAGCUCAACGGGUGCAACAGGCUUCUUUCCACCCGGAUGCAGUACACUCAAGCUUG
rnacentral:misc_RNA from 1 species